CAUGUCUCCUGCACUGGCAGGCAGGUUCUUUUACCUCUAGCACCACCUGGGAAGCCCAUGGGUUUAUCAUAUACAGCCUUUAUUAUGGUUCUUUGAGUUAUGAAAGCACAAUGAGUGAAUGGAGAGACAGUUGAGUAGGAUAAGAUAAAAAUGUUACAAUCUCCAUUGAAGACCACAGGCAAAGGUCCUGGAAUUGGAGUCACAAGACCUGGGUCUCCAGCCAGGGCUUUGCCACUGGAACUCACAGACUAUAGGGGAAAACAGACGAGAAAUUAGACCAUCACAAUUGAUGCCACAUGAAAAAUAAGAGCAAAGGGUUUUGUGAAAAUACAAAAGCAACAUCUGGCUAAGUCUGGAAGAGAUCAAAGAUGACUUUCGAGAGGGGGUGAUGCCAAGUCUCGAGAGCAGGUAGGGCAAGUCAAUUCAAGAAAUGUCUUUAACAACAGAUCUUCAACACAGGAGG